CCUGAUUGAUCCUGACAGUAUUCAUAUGCUUGUCUCAAAGAUUAAGCCAUGCAUAUGUAACUAUGAAAAAUUUCAAACUGUGAAACUGCGAAUGGCUCAUUAAAUCAGUUAUAGUUUGUUUGAUGAUAUCUACUACUCGGAUAACCAUAGUAAUUCUAACACUAAUACAUGCAACAAAUCCCGAUUUCUGAAAGGGAUGCAUUUAUUAGAUAAAAGGUCAACGCGGGCUCUGCUCGUUGCUGCGAUGAUUCAUGAUAACUUGACAGAUCGCACGACCAUCGUGCCGGUGGCACAUCAUUCAAAAUUCUGUCCUAUCAACUUUCGAUGGUAGGAUGGUGGCCUACCAUAGUGGUGACGGGUGACGGAGAAUUAGGGUUCGACUCCGUAGAGGGAGCCUGAGAAAUGGCAACACACCCAAGGAAGGCAACAGGCGCCCGAAUUACCAAUCCUAACAUGGGGAGGUAGUGGCAAUAAAUAAUAAUACUCGACUCUAUGAAUCUGGUAAUUGGAAUGAGUACAAUCUAAAUCCCUUAACGAGGAUACGUUGGAGGACAAGUUUGGUGCCAGCAGCCGCGGUAAUUCCAGCUCCAGUAGCAUAUAUUUAAGUUAUUACAGGUAAAAAGCUCGUAGUUAGACUUUGGGAUGGGCCGACCGGUCCGCCCUAGGUGUGCACCGGUUGUUUCGUCCCUUCUGCCGACGAUGUGCUCCUGGCCUUAAUUGUCCGGGUCGCGCCUUCGGCGUUGUUACUUUGAAGAAAUUAGAGUGCUCAAAGCAAGUCUACGCUCUGUAUACAUUAGCAUGGGAUAACAUUAGGAUUUCGGUCUUAUUACGCUGGCCUUCGGGAUCAGAUUAAUGAUUAAUAGGGACAGUCGGAGGCAUUCAUAUUUCAUAAUCAGAGGUGAAAUUCUUGAAUUUAUGAAAGAUGAACAACUGCAAAAGUAUUUGCCAAGUAUGGUUUCAUUAAUCAAGAACGAAAGUUGGGGGCUCGAAGACGAUCAUAUACUGUCCUAGUCUCAACCAUAAGCGAUGCCGACCAGGGAUCGACGGAUAUUACUUUUAGGACUCCACCGACACCUUAUGAGAAAUCGAACUUUUUGGGUUCGGGGGGAAUAUGGUCUCAAUGCUGAAACUUAAAGAAUUAACGGAAGGGCACCACCAGGAGUGAAGCAUGUGGCUUAAUUUGACUCAACAAGGAAAAACUUACCAGGUCCAGACAUGGUAAGGAUUGACAGACUGAGAGCUCUUUCUUGAUUCUAUGGGUGGUGGUGCAUAACCGUUUUUAGUUGGUGGAGCGAUUUGUCUGGUUAAUUCCAUUAACGAACGAGACCUCAACCUGCUAACUAGCUAUGCAGAGGUAUCCAUUCACGCUAUCUUCUUAGAGGGACUACGACCUUUUAGGCCGUGGAAGUUUGAGGCAAUAAUAAGUCUGUGAUGCCCUUAGAUGUUCUGGGCCGCACGUGCGCCACACUGAUAUAUUCAACGAGUUUAUAGCCUUGGCCGACAGGCUUGGGUAUUAUUUGAAAUUUCAUCAUGAUGGGUAUAGAUCAUUGCAAUUGUUGGUCUUCAACGAGGAAUUCCUAGUAAGUGUGAGUUAUCAGCUCGUGUUGACUACGUCCCUGCCCUUUGUACAUACCACCCGUCGCAACUACCGAUUAAAUGAUCCGGCAAAAUAUUCGAAUCGCGGUGACGUGGGCGGUUCGCUGCCCGUGAUGUUGCAAGAAGUUCAUUGAACCUUAUCAUUUAGAGGAAGAAGAAGUCGUAACAAGGUUUCCGUAGGUGAACCUGCGGAAG
rnacentral:rRNA from 1 species